rfam:Ixodes scapularis strain Wikel colony gcontig_1108378280430, whole genome shotgun sequence.
CCCUGGUUAGCUCAGUUGGUAGAGCACUCCACCUGUAAUGGAGAGGUUCCGGGUUCGAUACCCGGACCAGGCG